CGGCAGGCCUAAUACAUGCAAGUCGAACGAUAGAUUGGUGCUUGCACUGAUCGAAAAGUGGCGCACGGGUGCGUAACGCGUAUGCAACCUACCUUAUUCAGGGGGAUAGCCCGAAGAAAUUCGGAUUAACACCGCAUAAAAUCACAGCUCAGCAUUGAGUAAUGAUCAAAUAUUUAUAGGAAUAAGAUGGGCAUGCGUGUCAUUAGCUAGUUGGCGGGGUAACGGCCCACCAAGGCGACGAUGACUAGGGGAUCUGAGAGGAUGACCCCCCACACUGGUACUGAGACACGGACCAGACUCCUACGGGAGGCAGCAGUAAGGAAUAUUGGUCAAUGGAGGCAACUCUGAACCAGCCAUGCCGCGUGCAGGAAGACAGCCCUCUGGGUCGUAAACUGCUUUUAUUCGGGAAUAAACCUUUCUACGUGUAGAGAGCUGAAUGUACCGAAGGAAUAAGGAUCG
rnacentral:rRNA from 1 species